GAUUGGAUUUGGGGAUUUUUACUCAUUAGCUAACCCAGCCAACAUCACCUCAUAGAGCAUUAAAAUUGUCCUUUUUUAAAAAAUAUGCCCUUGCUUGGUUAAAAGUGAUACAAACACUAUAUUUUCGAUGAACUAGCUCUACACUCUAAAGAACAAUGGUGUUUAUUCUCAUCUCACCAGCAAGAAGCUAUGCUAGUUUUUUCUCAAGGACCUGUAGCUUAAGCCUCAACACAUUUUAGACAAAAAAAGUUACUGUUUCAAAAAGUUGUGAUUGAGUGAAAUAGUUUUCUGUGUGACUGAUGUCAAUGCUGAUCAUGGGAGUCCAUGCCACAUUUUCAAACUUUGCCUUCAGUAGAACGCAACAACCUGAUAAUACCAGACAAUGAGAAAUAGGACUGUUGAACUGCAGUGAAAAACUUCCAAAAAUAAGUUUGAAGGACAGGUUUAUAAAAGCAGUUUGAUUGGUCCAAAGAACCAAGAAAACCCUCCUACUGGCCGUAAACAUGUGUUUGAAAUGGACACCUACACAGCACAUCUCAAGUAGAAGGUAAACCCCAGUAACUUUAGCUCAGUGUGGGCAGUGUGUGUUAUAUAGUCUGUAUGGUCAUUUAUAUGUUGGUACUCUACAUAUCAUAGGUCUAUAAAACCCUUUGAUUGAAAGGAGCAGGUUUGACCGGGUGUGGAGGUGUGAAGGGGUGAGGGUGGGGGUUCUCACAUUGAAAUACAGAUUUAUUAGACUUCACAAGGGGGGAUGUUUAUUAUGCAGAUAAAUUGUUCUAAAGGCACAAUGUGUCUAUCUAAAGGGUCAGAAUAUAGACUGAAAGGCUCUUCUGCUCACCCUUUGUGCCAAUAAAGUGACCGUGGCCUUUACGGAGGAGAUAUAUUACGUGUGUGAUCCUCCAUUCAUCUAGUUCAAAUUAUUUUGCACAAAACAAGAACCACUCUAUACUUCAAUAUCUUCCAAAUGGUGCAUUUGGUGACCACUCAUUGAGGUCAUGAUAAGGGAUGUCCCGGUACGAUAUUAAUAUGUGACCGAUAUCAGCAAAAAAACAAAUAUUGGAUUAUAUCAGCCUAUAUCUGAAACCUCAGAUAUCAGCACUCCGAUACAAGCAGUCCAUUCCAGACUCCACUUCAGCACCUCUAUCUAGCAGUGCCCUGAUCCAGCAUGCAGAGCCCACGUGGUCACAACAACAGUGUGUACUAAGGUACUAACAAAGUAGCAAGGAGUAAGAGUGAUAUUGGCCUUGAGGCAGUAUUUUUUGUUAAAGUCCGAAAAACACGCCGAGCUGAAGGAAAAACUUGUCAUGCACAAUCGAAGGCUACAAUAUCGGUAUCGUAUCACAAGUCAAAAAGUUGUAUCAAGACACCCCUAGUCAUGAUACUUGCUACCUCCCACUGGCAGGAAACGUCCCAAAUUUUUGCUCUCCUCUUGUUUUCCAAGUCUAAGAACAAUAAAAACGUUACAGUCUAUCUUAUCAAGUUUCUGUAUGUGCAGCUUUCACUACAAUCAAACAGUUUUUAUCAAGUUUGGAGAGGGUGAUAAGGAUGUGCACACAGAAAACACCUGUACACAUGCUGAAUAUCCUGAAUUUAGUUUAAACCAAAACAGGUAUAAAUAAGCUGAAGGUUUCCAGGUAAUGUGGCAGGAGUUCAUUUCCAGUCGCUGGCCCUGAACAUACAGUAUACAUUAAAGACUACAUAAAAUGCAUAAAUAUACAUAGUCUACAUUUGCAUCUCCUACUUUAAACUGAAUUUACACCAGGACCAAAAAGACUGUCAUGGUUGCUUACUGCAGCUGAUAGUCUUGAUGUAUUUAAUGCAUAGCAGCCACUCUAUAGGAGGACAGCUGACAGCAGGGCCUCAGAUCAUGCUGACACACUGGAACGAGCUUGCCAAGGACUCUGUGUCCGUCCAAGUUUCAAUCAACAUGCCUACGAGCAGCCAAGAGCCCAGAGGAUGGAAUAAGUUGGUGAGAGGACUUGUAGAUAGUUGACAGGUAGAAGACAGAAAACGACAGGAUAAGAAGGGAUGACACUGAGGGAUGAGAAUCAGAUUAGGGAGCAGACACAGAAAGAAGAUUAGGUGAAAGGGAAAGACCAGAAGCCAAUAGAGGAGUGAGGUGAGACACAGGUGAGAAUGACACAACAACUAUGUGUUCCAAAUAAGUCAAUACUCCCCACUGAGUCCAAUUUAAAGUGAGUUAGCCAUUACACAGAGUACUAAACAUGUACCUAUGAACAUCUACUCUGUCAGUUUCCAUGUAGAAGUGUGUGUUGUGCAUAUGGAGAAAAUCCUGUUUGCUCUGCGGAAGUCACUGAAGUACUAUUUAUGACUCUCCAGACAGAGGGCAAAGAAACAACACAUAAGGGUCAAUAACAUAUUACAUGUCCUUCAACAACCCUGAAAAAUGGUAUAUGAAACUGAUAAGUGAUUUACAUCUACAAGGUUAAAGUGUCAGGUUGUAAGUUUCGACAGAGGCUCUUUUUUCUGUAUUUUAAUGUCUUAAAUUCACAUUCUGUCUUAGUUUUGCAACUCGGUGAGAUGAAGGUUUGGGCCUGAAUUCAAGUUACGCAACAAAGCCAUAAAUUCAUUUCAUUACACUGCAUUCUAUUCAGAAAUUGUGCCUGUAUAAGGUAAAAAGCAGUAAGGCUAACUCACUAAAUUCACACAGCCCCAGUGUUUCUAUGGUAUUAAGCUCAGGUUACUAUCUGUUUUUAUUCCCUGAGUUUUUAUUCAAUUACUUAGCAACUAAAAUGGCAGUGCGUGGUGAGAGUACAUUAAAACAUCAACUCAUGUGACAAGGUCAGCAACUGCAGUGGGAAAUGAAGGUUGGCCAAGGAAAUUAUACACUUCUUAACGAUACCAACAAUACAACACAUUCAGAUCAGAUAUGAUACAAUCAAUGCAACGCAAUAGGAUGAGAUGAGAUACAAAAAAUACGAUACGAUUCAACAAGAGAGGAUACCAUAGGACACAAUACGGUAUGAUACGAUUCAACACGAUAGGAUACGACACAAUACGAUAUGAUAUGAAUCAACAAGAUAGGAUAGGAUAAGACACAAUAUGACGCCAUUCAACAAGACAGGAUAAGGUAUGAUUCAACAUGAUCGGACAAGAUGGGAUACAAUACAAUACCAAACAAUUCAACAGGAAAGGUUAGGAUAAGAAACACUAUGAUAUGGUACGAUUCAACACGAUAAAAUACAACACGAUACGAUUUUAUACUUUAUGAUUCAACAUGAUGGAAUACGAUACAAUUUGAUACAAAAGAAUAUGAUACAAUUCUACACGAUCAACUUCAAUACUAAACAUGACAUGAUAGCAGAAAAGGAACAAUAGGAUAUAGUGUGAUUCAAUGUGAUGAGAUAGCAAAGUAUGGAAAACUACGAUUCAAUAGGAUUCACGACAAAUUUGAAGAUGUCAUGUAAUACAAUAUGAUAUUGUACUGGACUUUAAAGUACAAUAUAAUACAAUACGAUGUGAAAUAUUACAAUACAGUACAAUAGGACAUGGCAAGGUACAGUGCAAUACAAUACAAUAUGAUUAUCUGAUAAAUCUAUCAAUGAACCUUUCAAUUAAUGAAUGAUAUUCACUUUUUAUGAUCCCUUUUACAAAGACUACGAUAGGGAUACUAUGCCAGAGACAACUCUAUUUUUAUUGAUAAAUUUCAAGAUAUUCACAGAAUGAUACAACAUAAUAUCUGAUCAAGUGGACAAUAAGAAAAUGUCUAUCAAAGGUAAAAUGUAGGAUUAUUAUCAUUGCAGAGUCAAAUCAGAGGGUCAAUCUGCUUAAAGAGACACAUUACUCUAAAUCAGAAUACAAAGUUUUAUCACCAGUCGUAGGAUACUUCUAAGGGCCAGGAUGACAAUUACUUAACCUGCGUAUGUGAACACUUUGCAGAGACACAGAGAAAAAAAAAGGCUUCUGUGAACCCUCCUAAUUUACAGCAAAGCCAUAUCAUGCAUGUUUUAACAAGGAUGUUCUGGUCAAGAAGUGAAAGUCAGGAGGGAGAAACAAGCAAAACAGAGCUUAUUAAAAAAGAUUCCUGAUUGCCCUAUGAGCAACUUCCAAUUAGAUAGGUAAUGAAGCUAGCUUCAUUAUAAAAGUAUAACCCAGAGGAAAAGAAAAUGACACACGCAUCAGCACUACUGCACACAACAAGGAGCUGCACAAGGGCGGGAGGUAAAAAGAUACUGCAGUGGUAGUCAAGCUUUCAUGUGAAUGUAUCAGACCAGCACUGUGGUGUGCUGUGGUGUAGAAGUUGCAGAGGUUGCAGGUAUAGGGAAAGAUUUUUUAAAGAAUAUUCUGAUGUAAAAAAUAAACUAGUGACAUCGUUCUCAUGCAUAUUAAAUAACAGCCAGGAGCUAAUUACCUUGGCUCAGUUUGGGGCAUAAACCGAAUAAAACAUGGAUGUUGGCUCAGUGACAGCAGCCAUUAGUUUCUGAAGGAGGGUUCUGCAAAGUGACUGCCAAAUAAGUCAGCAUAUUAGAAAGGCACACUAACUUCUCUUUUGGUGUAGCUACAGAAACAGACCAAGGCAUGGAGCUGAGACCGGCUUUCAGCCUCCUGGAAACUGCUGUGUUGUGCCCACUUGUAAGUCAACUCAGCCACGCCCCUGAUUACACACAUCUACACAGGUCGGAGCCUUACGAUUAUCAAAACAGAUGAUUAACAACCUCCUAUUCAGACCCAAACCCCCCUUAUUUUCGACCAAGGGUUAAACAUGUUUGAUGCUACAGUAAAGUGGACAUCCUGACAUGAGUUUACAGGUAUUUCUGACCUUUUAGAGCCAGCAAAACAGUGGUGUUUUGGCUUAAUAUGUUCAACAUUAAGGGCUCUAUUUUCAUGCCCGUCGGUGGCGUGGUGGAGGGUGACCGCAGUGGUAUUUUAGUCUGGCGAAGCCUGGUGCACAGCCAGUUUGAUAUUUUCAUGGACUGAGGUGCACUGAGGAGUGCCAAGCUGUAGGGGGAGUAGGUGGACAAAAUCCGCUUGCGCAGUAACAUUUUCGAGCUGGCCUGCAACGUAGAAAGUGUGCUGAAAGCUUGCCGAUUCAAACCCGGUCAUCUUUCAGCGCAGGCAGAUUGAGCUGGUCUAGUGG
rnacentral:lncRNA from 1 species